GACGAACACUGGCGGCAUGCCUAACACAUGCAAGUUGAACGAAGGUCCCGGGCCUGCUUCGGGAACCUUAGUAGCGAACGGGUGAGUAACGCGUGGGAAUCUACCUAGAAAUGGGGAAUAACUACUGGAAACGGUAGCUAAUACCGCAUAAUCCCUUCGGGGCAAAGGCUUCGGCCGUUUUUAGAUGAGCCCGCGUUAGAUUAGAUUGUUGGUGGGGUAAUGGCCUACCAAAUCUUCUAUCUAUAGCUGGUCUGAGAGGAUGAUCAGCCACACUGGGACUGAGACACGGCCCAGACUCCUACGGGAGGCAGCAGUGGGGAAUAUUGGACAAUGGGGGAAACCCUGAUCCAGCAAUGCCGCGUGAGUGAAGAAGGCCUUAGGGUUGUAAAACUCUUUCAGAAGUGAAGAUGAUGACUGUAACU
rnacentral:rRNA from 1 species